rfam:Tomato bushy stunt virus complete genome.
GGUUUGUGAGAAGGUUGGGGUAGCCCACCGACUUGGGUAUGAUGGGUUUCUGUCAUACUACAGCGGUGCGAAACUCCGUACUUACACACGAGCC